AUGUAAUUUUUCUGCUCCUUUAAUUUUUUGCAUUAGUGUAUAUUAACCAGGAUAUGUUAUAUAUUUAUUCGACCAUAAUUUUAUCAAAAAGGACUAAAAUCUUGGAUAAAACAGCGACUUCUAAAAUUUUGAGAUGUUUAAUUGGAUUUAUCUCGAAAACUACUAGCUCUACAGUAAUCGCUUACAUAAUUUCUUUUGUAGGAAAUAAAAUUCUCUACAAAAAAAAGUUCUGUACAAUUUUGUUGUAAAGUUGAUGGUUUGUGAGGUCGGUUACAAAACAUAAAUUAGCUACAAGCACUUUCAAAAAGGAACGAUUCCUUUGUGAUUUCCACCUAUGGUCGAUCAAAUAUCUUGAAAUGCCGUUGAGCUAUAGAUAAUUGAAAAAAUAAAAUUAAAAUUUACGUGUUAAUCAAAUGGGAAAAUUUUAAAUUCAUUUAUGUGUACAAUGAUAUUUCAACAUGGGACUUGGAAAAAAAUAUAGUCAUCUCAAACGAAGCACCCUAAUAUUAAUGUAUAUAUAAUUAGGUAAAAUCAUUUUUUUCUGGGUACAUAUAACUUUAUAUGAUUAUAUAAGAUUUUAUAUGAUUUUAUAAGAUUUUUUAAAGUCAUAUAAGUUUCUAUAGGACCAAUUUCAUUAUAAAACUUUAUAUGAUUUUAUAUGAGUCACUUUUAUAUGAUUUAUAUAUGAUCAUAUAAGAACUUUUUUUCCCGGGUUCUAAUUCGGGUAGUAGAUUUACGUCAAAUUGUAGAGAAAGUUGCAUACAAACUAUCGUCAAAAACGGAAAAGUCCAAAGUUGACGGAUAUUUGACGAAAAAUUCAAGGAAACUUUUGUAAAACUUUUGCUAAGAAAACUGUGCUAUUAGGGGAGUUAAUGCUUACGCUGUCAAUUUAGAAGUAAACCUUAUUUUCUUACCCUUUUACUGAAAUUUUCUAGUUAUAUUCUCUGUAAAAUUACCUCUUCAUAAGAGGCGUAAAAUUACGCUGACUUGUAGUUCAUGUUGUACCCCGUAUUUUUAGUCAGAAACAGAAAUAUCUCAAUUGGCAUAGAAAUAUCUUAAGUUGGCAGUGAUUUAUCGUCAAAUCGAGGAGAUUCAUCAUUAUUGCUGACCUAAGCAUCAGUUAACAGGAUAUUUUUUAUGAUUCAAAUUUUAUUCAUAAGGUGAGUGAUAAAGAUUUGAUUUAUUAUAUGCAACACCAUUUUCAAGCUUAAUGUUUGGUAGUAGAAUCUGUACUAAUAUUUUAAAAUUGAAUUCAAUUGCAAUUGACUUAAGCCAACAAUAUAACACAUAAAGUUUUUGGUUUCUAUUAAUGGUAUAAUAACAUAUUCUUGAAAGGUCCGUCAAAGCAUAGUUCCUUCAAUUUAUUUAUAUUUUUAACUAUUGUUUUUUUUUUUCAGCAGUUGUAAAUUCCAAAUUUCUUUCUAUUUUGACUUAUCAUUGGAAAAAUCGAGGAAAAAAAUUAUAGAAAUAGAACUACUCGUGCUCCAGCUGUUAUUGGACAAUUUCUCUGCUAUCAAAAGCAGUCAUUUUUCUUUGACUUCUGCUUUCAAUCAGCAGUCUUAUAUUCAAUUUUCUGCUUUUAAUCAGCAGUCUUAUAUUCAAUUUUCUGCUUUUAAUUAGCAGUCUAAAAUUUUUUUCCAUUUUCUGCGUUUGAUUUGCAGUUUAAAACUCAAUUUUUUACUUUUGAUUAGUAGUUCAGGUAGUCCUAUAUUUGAAUUUCUGCUUAUAACAGCAGUAGUGCUCACAGAAUCUGCUUGGAUAAGCAGUAGGAUUUCAAAAUACUAGAUAUCGCUGAUUAUUUAUCUUUAUUUAUAAUUAUAAGGAGUAUAAAUUAAGUUAACAAAGUAUACAUAUUUUUGUACUGUUCUCUGUAUUAUAAAAUAAAACAUAAU